CCUUGAGCGCCCGCCUGGCUCCGGGGCCCAGGAGGGCGCUAAAGAUCACGGAAGGCUCGGGAAGGCUGUCCCGACUCCCAGUUAUGUGGAAGAAGCAAAUGAGACCUUAUUCUCUUUGUGUGGAGGUUUUUUUAAGCCGUGGUGGCAAGCCGUAGGUGCACAGCAGUUUCUGAGAAGAUACCGGAGAGUCACACAAGGCGGGAGGACUCUGGUGUCUCCUCCUCCCACCGCUUGGUGUUGCCUGCAGUUUCCAUGGCUCCUGGAAGCCGCGAUUGCGUCAGCAGCUGAGGGUGGAGGAGCUCAGAGAGGCUCCUGUCCCUAGCCCUGACCCGGGCGCCUGGCUCUGAGGGGGACCCACUGAGUCAGAGCCCCACGGACCUGACGCCUGGUGCUGCCUGCUGUUCCCGGCACUCCCAUCACCCCUGGCUACUGGACUGUGCUCACCCACUGAGCCCCACUGAAGGAUGCAGGUGCUCUGACAGGGCCUCUGAGGGAGACUGGGAGCGGUCAGAGAAGAACCUGUGGGUGUGGCUGGCAGAGAGCAGGUGGCAGCGGGCUGAGCUGGCUGGUCGCCUGCGGGCAGCACUGGAGUCCCUGUCUGAGCAAGCACAGGUGCUGCAGAAGCGGGAACGCGAGCUGGGACUCAGCAGGAUCCAGUGUGAGUUGCUGGCUCCGAAGCAGAAAGUGAGGCUCUGGUCCUCUCCUCGUGGUCUUCCUUGCUUGUCCACAGCCCCAGGGAGGUCCCCCGAGCUAGCAAGUUCCCCUUACUAGACUGAAAACCCCAGAAUGCUCAGGGCUGAUGCCCAUAUCUGGUGUCAUAUUCUCAGGAAGAAGGCUUGUCAGGGCCUGGAGCAUCCAAAGGAGACAGAGGGAAAUUGAGUCCCCAACAGGGCUACCAUGUUGAAAGUGUCAUCUCUGUGAAUGGCACCCCCUGGAGGUGUGCAGUGCAUUGCCUGGUGUGGCUGGGAGCAGUGGAUAGAGGCAAAGGAAGGACCAGGGAACCUCUGCCCUUCCCCUCCCAGGUAGAAUAAGAGGGAAGGAGGUGGCUGGUUUUAGCUCAGUGGACAGAAGAGUUUCCUCAGAAGCCCAGUCACCCCUGGUGAAGCUUCAGUCCCCAGGGAGGGGGAGAGGGUUAUGCACACUGAGGCUUCUAGGGGAGGUACCCAGCAUCCCUGCCCCAUGUGAGAGUAUGGACAGUGCUACCCUGUGAUGGCCUAGAUACCUAAGCCUUUAUGUGACCUGGUGGUCUCAGCGCACAGCUGACCCUCCUAGAGCCACUGCUCCCUACCGGCCAGGGAGGACCCUGGGAACCCAGUUGACAUGCCUGCUCACUCUCCAGCAUUCCACAA